CAGUGACGGUAGCUUNCCAGAAAGGGACGGCUAACUACGUGCCAGCAGCCGCGGUAGUACGUAGNUCCCGAGCGUUGUCCGGAUUUAUUGGGCGUAAAGGGAGCGCAGGCGNUCAGGAAAGUCUGGAGUAAAAGGCUAUGGCUCAACCAUAGUGUGCUCUGGAAACUGUCUGACUUGAGUGCAGAAGGGGAGAGUGGAAUUNCAUGUGUAGCGGUGAAAUGCGUAGAUAUAUGGAGGAACACCAGUGGCGAAAGCGGCUCUCUGGUCUGUCACUGACGCUGAGGCUCGAAAGCGUGGGUAGCGAUCAGGAUUAGAUACCCUGGUAGUCCACGCCGUAAACGAUGAGUGCUAGGUGUUAGGCCCUUUCCGGGGCUUAGUGCCGGAGCUAACGCAAUAAGCACUCCGCCUGGGGAGUACGACCGCAAGGUUGAAACUCAAAGGAAUUGACGGGGGCCCGCACAAGCGGUGGAGCAUGUGGUUUAAUUCGAAGCAACGCGAAGAACCUUACCAGGUCUUGACAUCCCGAUGCUAUUCUUAGAGAUAGGAGGUUACUUCGGUACAUCGGAGACAGGUGGUGCAUGGUUGUCGUCAGCUCGUGUCGUGAGAUGUUGGGUUAAGUCCCGCAACGAGCGCAACCCUUAUUGUUAGUUGCCAUCAUUAAGUUGGGCACUCUAGCGAGACUGCCGGUAAUAAACCGGAGGAAGGUGGGGAUGACGUCAAAUCAUCAUGCCCCUUAUGACCUGGGCUACACACGUGCUACAAUGGUCGGUACAACGAGUUGCGAGCCGGUGACGGCAAGCUAAUCUCUGAAAGCCGAUCUCAGUUCGGAUUGGAGGCUGCAACUCGCCUCCAUGAAGUCGGAAUCGCUAGUAAUCGCGGAUCAGCACGCCGCGGUGAAUACGUUCCCGGGCCUUGUACACACCGCCCGUCACACCACGAGAGUUUGUAACACCCGAAGUCGGUGAGGUAACCUUCUAGGG
rnacentral:rRNA from 1 species